AUACGUAGGGAGCGAGCGUUGUCCGGAAUUACUGGGUGUAAAGGGAGCGUAGGCGGGAGUGCAAGUCCGAUGUGAAAUACAUGGGCUCAACCCAUGGGCUGCAUUUGAAACUGCAUUUCUUGAGUGAAGUAGAGGUAAGCGGCAUUCCUGGUGUAGCGGUGACAUGCGUAGAUAUCAGGAGGAACACCGGUGGCGAAGGCGGCUUACUGGGCUUUUACUGACGCUGAGGCUCGAAAGCGUGGGGAGCAAACAGGAUUAGAUACCCUGGUAGUCCACGCUGUAAACGAUGAUUACUAGGUGUGGGGGGACUGACCCCUUCCGUGCCGCAGUUAACACAAUAAGUAAUCCACCUGGGGAGUACGGCCGCAAGGUUGAAACUCAAAUGAAUUGACGGG
rnacentral:rRNA from 1 species